CACGGGUACACACACACACACCCACAUGCACACAGAUGAGCACGGGUACACACACACAUGCACACACACAGAUGAGCACGGGUACACACACGCACACCCACAUGCAGGUACACACACGCACACCCACAUGCACACAAUGCAGGUACACACCCACACCCACAUGCACACACAUGCAGGUACACACACACACACCCACAUGCACACACACAGAUGAGCACGGGUACACACACGCACACCCACAUGCACACACACAGAUGAGCACGGGUACACACACACACCCACAUGCACACACGUGCAGGUACACAGAUGAGCACGGGUACACACACACACACAUGCACACACACAGAUGAGCACGGGUACACACACGCACACCCAUGCACACACAUGCAGGGACACACAGAUGAGCACGGGUACACACACACACCCACAUGCACACACACAGAUGAGCACGGGUACACACAUGCACACCCACACGCACACACAUGCAAGGACACACAGAUGAGCACGAGUACACACACACCCACAUGCACACACAUGCAGGGACACACACAGAUGAGCAC
rnacentral:lncRNA from 1 species